rnacentral:lncRNA from 1 species
GGUAUGGAAUCCAAUCUUGCUUGCUAGCAGAAAAGAAUCCAAUGCGAGUAUGAAGUUUGCUCAUAACAUUAGCAUCAAUUAGAAUAGGAACUCUGGCCGUUUGGUUAAGCCAACUCUAGGUCCGACUUUAGGCCUAGCCGAAAAAUUUUUGGGCUUGAGUCAUAGAGCCCAAAAUCUAAAUCAAGCCUGAUCGUGUUCAGCACAUAACUAAUCCUAACCCUAACUAACCCACCACCCUCUUGCCAAGCUCCCACAUUGCCUCUCUCUAUUACUCUUUCUAUCUCUAGAACUCUUCCUCUCCUCCUGGCACCCACAUUUCCAUUCAACUCUCUUUUUCCCACACAAACUCUCCUAUGUCCUCUCCUCCCUCUUGGCAUCCAUCCAUCUCUUUCUCUCUCUCUCUCUCUGGGGCUCUUCUUGUGCUCUCUCCCCCCUGGCACCUAUGCUGCCUCUCUCUCUUCUCUCUCUCCACUAUAAUGUUGCUAUUGUUUCCUCCCCUCUUAUCUUUACUUCUUUCAUGCUAUUGUCGCUAUUGAAGAGACCCUGAAAGAAGAUCGAGGAGAGGGAGGAAGAUGUUGCCCAU